rnacentral:rRNA from 1 species
UACAGAGGUCUCAAGCGUUGUUCGGAAUUACUGGGCGUAAAGGGCUCGUAGGCGGCCAACUAAGUCGGAUGUGAAAUCCCCAGGCUUAACCUGGGAACUGCAUCCGAUACUGGAUGGCUUGAGUUUGGGAGAGGGAUGCGGAAUUCCAGGUGUAGCGGUGAAAUGCGUAGAUAUCUGGAGGAACACCGGUGGCGAAGGCGGCAUCCCUGGACCAACACUGACACUGAGGAGCGAAAGCCAGGGGAGCAAACGGG